GAUGAAGAACGUAGCGAAAUGCGAUAAGUAAUGUGAAUUGCAGAAUUCAGUGAAUCAUCGAAUCUUUGAACGCACAUUGCACUCAUUAGUAUUCUAGUGAGUAUGCCUGUUCGAGCGUCAUUUCAACCCUUAAGCCUAGCUUAGUGUUGGGACUCUACCCUAACCGGUAGUUCCCCAAAAUCAGUUGGCGGAGUUCAGUCGGCUCUGAGUGUAGUAAUUUUCUCUCGCUUUAGAAGUCUUCUGGAUUACGGCCAGAAAGAGACGAGUCUCGCAUCUCGGUGCGUUUCUCAACUUUUUUUUUGCAAUGGUUGACCUCGGAUCAGGUAGGAAUACCCGCUGAACUUAAGCAUAUCAAUAAGCGGAGGA
rnacentral:misc_RNA from 1 species